rnacentral:rRNA from 1 species
AUCUAUGGUCAUGUCACCCUGAAUAUGCCUGAUCUCGUCUGAUCUCGGAAGCUAAGCAGGGUCGGCCCCGGUUAGUACUUGGAUGGGAGACCACCUAGGAAGACCAGGGGCUGUAGGUG